rnacentral:rRNA from 1 species
UCGUCAGCUCGUGCCGUGAGGUGUUGGGUUAAGUCCCGCAACGAGCGCAACCCCUAUCAAUAGUUGCCAACAGGUAAAGCUGGGAACUCUAAAAAAACUGCCGCCGUAAGGCGUGAGGAAGGAGGGGAUGAUGUCAAGUCAUCAUGGCCUUUAUGCCCAGGGCUACACACGUGCUACAAUGGGGUGGACAAAGGGCUGCAACACGGUGACGUGAAGCCAAUCCCAAAAACCAUCUCUCAGUUCAGAUUGGAGUCUGCAACUCGACUCCAUGAAGCUGGAAUCGCUAGUAAUCGUAUAUCAGCAAUGAUACGGUGAAUACGUUCCCGGACCUUGCACACACCGCCCGUCAAGCCAUGGGAGCCGGGUGUACCUAAAGUCGGUAACCGCAAGGAGCUGCCUAGCGCUCUAUAUAAUACGGGUGACUGGGGCUAAGUCGUAACAAGGUAGCCGUA